UCAGACAGCUACUACUGCUGUUGAAACUUCCAUAUGGUGGAAUGUUCUGGAGGCCACUGAUGAAACUGAAGAUAACCUCUGGUGCAAACUGCCAGUAUCUUGUCUAUGGAACCAGCAGAGGAAGACAUUGGUACCAGAGCACAAUGGACUCUGCGGUGUUCUUCUCCAAACUACAUGACUGCAGGCCAUAGCUGAGAUGGGGCAUCAGUCAUGGGUGGCCACAUUUCAAUAUGCUUUGCAAAUGGCAUGUCACGGCUUUUACUUGCCAUAGCAAGUGUACCAGCGCUACCAUCUGGCAAGCAUGAGAGCUAUUUGCUAUGGGCGGUUUAUAAAUGAAACAAAGAAGAAGAAGAAGGAGAAGAAGGAGAAGAAGAAGGAGAAGCAGAAGAAGAAGUCAGACUGGUCUGGUCUGACUUCUCUCAGCUCAGCAUAUGAAGAGGCAGAGAAGUGGUUGGCAUACGAAAUGUUGGAAAAUCUUCAGAGAGAACCAUUUAACCUAAUUUAACUUUUUGGAAGAAGGAGAGUGCUCAAGUCAUAUCACAUAAGCCAUAAAGUUUGUCUGCAGAAUAUGCAACGCGAAAGAACCCGGCUCAGUUGAUAACUAGAUGUUGUCACUGGUUUUCAGUACAAGAAAACCAGCAGAGUUGCCAGCAACAGGUAAUGCUCUUCGUUCUCACGUAGUGCAAGGACACAAGCAAGCCUUGAUCUGGAUAAAUGUUCACCGUGCUAUUCCAGACAGGGGCUCUCAGAACCCACAAAUACGAGUUACGGCGUGCAUGAGGGUGCUGGGGCAAUGAACAUACCAACAACCAGAACCCCUGCAUGGAUACCAUCCACCCCAGAAUACCUCACAGUAAAUGUACGAGGAACGUCAUAGGAAAUUAGUGUGCAAUUUCUUGCUAUAGUCAAGAAUGCAACAUUCAGCUGGGAACCAGCAUAAUCCACAUACAGCAGAGUGUGCCUGCCCAGCAGUUCCUGAGGUUUACCCUAAAAUGACCAUUUGCGCAUCUUCCAGGCUUUUUCCAGAACUGUGACUAGACUACGAUUAUAAGAUACACAAAAAAUGCAUAAAGCAGGGGUGGGCGUGGCCAAUGGGCAGGGAUGAUGGGAGUUGUAGUCCAUCAUCAUCAUGAGGGAAGGCCACCAGCUGCCCAGCCCUGCUGCAAAGAACGGAACAGGACAGACACAGACAAUAGUGUUAAAAAGGCCAAAACUCCAACUGUUGCAACUCAUCUUGAGAAUGCUUUUCCAGAAAGCGGGUCUCCACAUUUCCACAGUGAACACAUCAUCCCUCAAAGCGGUUAAGCUGCAGUUCUGACCUAUCGUUCAAGCAAGCCGUGAUGGGUAAAAAGCAGGGAGAGAAUAUCUAUGAAUAGACUUUUUUAAAGGGUUAAGGCAGCACGGGCAAUAUUGGGUACAAAAGCACAAACAACACAGACAGCACAAAAAAGACAAAGAUGACCACAAGCCACAUUGAGUAUUACAAGGAGCACUGCAUGGCAAGAAUGGAAGCUUUCUGCUCUACUGAAUGGAUGACACACACCCCUGGCCCCCGCCAUGCACUAACUGCAAAGCAAGUCAGGACGCUCUGCAAGUUGACAAAUGCAGCUACGCAGCAAAGACAUCCAAGACAAAAGUGACACCAAAACUAGACGGAUCUUACAAAAUGAGGCCUGUGAAGCCUCUUGCCUGUGAUAAUUGGUUCUGACUUUAAAAGCUUCCUGCUUCUACCUGCAGCAACUUCUGUGCUGAACAAUCACAACUGGACUUCAUGGUACCUGGAUAUUUAAACAGUUAAUAUUUUAUGUUCUCCAUCCACCCAACUAUACCUUACUUUAUAUCUCAGUCACCAAGACACCUAUAAGAAUAUGGCAAAACAAACUCCUUCCAAGUCUAAAUCCACCCUGACCUGAAUAGAGAAAUGGCUGGGCUGAUAUGGCAGCACCCACGUUCUCUGUUAAAAGGUUGGAAGACUUGGUCUGGGCCAGAGCAAGGAACGAGUGAGCACUCCAGGGAAACCAGCUCUUGGGGAUAAGCUCAGAAUGAACAGUAACUGCUACUUAAUUUCUAACUAUUCAGAAGAAAAAAACUCUGCAGAAGUCUGUGUUUUAAGGAUAUUUUAUCUCCUUAAUUUAAGAAUUCAAAGACACUGAAACAACUCUUGAACUGGCAGCUGGUUCUGCUCAUGCUUUCAUAUCUGGAAAGGGCAAGACAGCCUCAACUCCUAGACUUAAACGCUUAUUUAUCACAUUUGCUCUAGUUUUGUAAGAAAGCAAACUGAAGACCUCUCAUCAAAGAAAGUCCUUUCCUCUUAGAGUCAGGCAGUGAAGAUUUCUGAGUGUGCUAUUAAGUCAGCUAAGACCUGCCACUGAGAUAUUAGGUUUACAGAGCAACUGAGUGAUGCUGCCUCUAGUUAAGUCUUGAAGCAGCCCCCUGACAUUCAAUAACGCUUUGAUACUCCAAGCAGAGCAUCUUUCUAGGCCAGCAUCAGGUAUAAGAAUUGGAGGCACUGCAAUUACUGGGUGUUCCACGGGGCUCUCUCUCUCAUCUCCUAGCCUUUUAACACCUACGUGAAAACCAAGCACCAAAAAGAUUGUAAUGUGGACACCAGUUGAGCCUUUCUAGGGAGGGUGUUCCAAACAUGAGCACCUCUAUGCUUGACCUUCUUCCUUGCAUCUGCAUAAUCCACUUCACUAACUAAUGAUAUCUAAUGAAGAACUUCAUGCUUAAUGCAUGAAGAGCUUAAUACUGCACGGGCAGGCUGGUAUAAGAGAAGGCAUUCCUUCAGGAAUUGGGGUCCCAAGCAGUUUAGGGCUUUUAAAGGUCAGUACUAGUGCCUUGAAUUGGGCUUGGCAGUAAAUAGCCAGCCAAUGUGAUUCUUUCAGAACUGGCGUAACACGGCUCCACCUAACUAGUCCAGUCUGAAUUACUAGCAACUGGUGAAACAACUGGUAAAAGGUACACCGUGCCACUGAGGCCACCAUUGAUAAUGCUAGCUCAAGAAACACUUCUAAGCUACAUGCCUGCUAUUUCAGAAUGAGUGCAACCCCAUCCAAAAGACCAGACAGACCUGAUGAUCACCUCCCCACAGGGCCUCUCUCUUGUUGGGAUCCAGUACUCAGUUUAUUGGCCCUCAUCCAGGCCAUUACCAAAUCCAAACAAUGAUUCAGCAGGUUCAGACUUGCUGUUUGCAAAUGGUAACAGAUGGGAUAAAUAAAUUGAGCUCCAUACAGACAAUAUGGAGGUUUUGUGGAUUGGUUCUUUUUUAAAUUCAGUUCACAAAUACAAUCACAACACAAUUUAAAAGAGAAUACACCAUUAACUAAAAAUAGCAGCAUGAAAACAUGUCACUCCAGACUGGCAAUAAAAAAAAGACUAAAAGUAGCAGUGACAAUUAAAAAUUAAGGAGGACAAAAGGAUCUUUUAGUCAUCAAGACGUGUUAUACCUCGGAGGCAAUAAAUGCCUCUGAAUGCCAGUUGUUAGGAAUCCCAACCAGAGAGAGAGCUGUUGGCACUCAGGGUCCAGCUUGUGGGCCUUUCCCUUUGGGGCCUCUGCCUGCCACGGUGAGGACAGGAGGCUGGAUAAGGGGAGUAUUGGAUCCAGCAGGACCCUUCUAACAUUCUUUAGAAAGAAAGAUUAGAAAUAAAUACAAGACAGAUGUAUGAAGUUUUGGGUAGGGGAAGAAACCUAGAAUUGCUAUGGCCAUAUCCUGUAAACCCUGACUUAAGGGUGCAGUAAGCACCCCCAUCUUUCAGAGUUUUAUGAUAUGUGUAAAAUAACUGAUACAAGGGAAUAUAAACAGAUUGGGAGUUUUCCAACCAGUUGUCUGGGAUCACAAUAAAGGAGAACUUAAAACGGCAUGUCAAAAUCUGUGUGUCAAAGCUGUAUAUACCAUAUGAUUGUAUGGGUAAAGAAAAAAUAAAGCUGUAUUA